UUUUUAAUAAAACAGGCAACAACAGAGAGACCUUUUAUACAGAAGCUAUUUCGACCAAUUGCUUCAGGAGGACAGUUGCAUACUUUGGGAGACCUGCUAAAAGAUGUGUGUCCUAGUGCGAUCACCCCUGAAGAUGGAGAGCAGAAGACUCAAGUGAUGAUUCAUGGAAUUGAGCCAAUGCUGGAAACACCCAUUCAGUGGCUAAGUGAACAUAUGAGCUAUCCAGAUAAUUUUCUCCACAUUAGUAUCAUUCCCCGACCUACUGAUUGAAACUCAGCUAUAUUCCUAUGAGGAUCAUUCUCAAGCUGGAAUUCUAAGGGCAUGUCAACUUCUUGCUUCUGUCAGUCUUAACAGAGGCAGCCUGACCAGAAAAAAAAGAAACCAACAAAAAGCCGAAACAAAACAAGAAGUCCUCACUGCUGUAAGCCAAACAGGAAGAGAGAUCCUAUCAUCAGAUAAGGGCAAUUGGGCUGAUCUUAUUUUGCAUCACUGCUGCGUUUGUUCACCGCUGUAAUUAAAUCAGUUGCGAUAUGAAAGAAUUUACAGGACUUCUGCAAGUCUGCUGUUUUCUUGUAAAAUAUAAUGAAGCUGAAACUGUCAGCCGAAGAGCAAAUGGAAAUAUGCCACUUGAUUGUAUUUCUGAUUAACAAAUAAACAGGGCUGUUUCCUAAAGAGGUAGUGUUUCAGCUUUGAGGGUGGAAACAUUGGUUUAAUUUUCUAGAAAGUUAGACACUGAGAGAUUUGGUUACCAAUAGCUUUUUGUAAAAGAUCAAAUUACUGUAAAUCCAUCUUUCCUUAAUGAGAAGUUCAUGUUUACAGUAUAUGUAUUGGUAUGCAAAUGAUCUUUUAACUUUGAUAACAAGCAGUGAGAGAUUUUAACAUAAGCCCAUGAGCAUGUUUUGUCAGUUAAAAACAUGCACAACUUAAUAAUUACAAAUACUUUUGUAUGCUGUCACUGAAUACUGCAGUGUGUUUAUUAUUCAAAACAGUUUUCAUAGACUAGCAAUGAUGUAGGAUAAUUUGUCUCAGGAUUCAUCAUGGCAUUUCUUUGUGCUAAUCUAAUUUUUUUUUUUCUUUAAGAAUAUAUUUUCUUAAUUUACUUUAAAAAGUUGUUGUUUUGUUUUUUUUUUUUUUAAUAAGCUACAUGGAUGUUGCAAACAGGAUUGUAUCCUGCUGUGUAUUCCCAUAGACUAGGAAAUAGUUAAAUCAUAGAAUGAUGAGCAGAUUGCUUUUUAAUGAUUUUGAAUUUUGGAAAGCUGAGGCUUUUCUAAGCUAAUACUUUCUUACAUCUGCGGUCCCUGAGCAAUCAGUCCACAAUUUUGGAAGCUUCUAAUCUCAUUGCACAGAUUUUUUUUUUUUAGUGUAGCAGAUGUAUUUUUAGGUUAUUGGAUCAUUAUGGUUUCUAAAUGUUUGCUACCAUUGCAGAUGCUACUCGAACUCUACCAAUUUUUUUUUUGUGUUACACUAAAUUCAUCAAACUCUCUGCUCUGUUGCUUUGUCUGCAGUUUGUGGCUGUUUGUGGCACAAAAUUAUGUUUAUAGUAGACAUAUUAUCCAAUCUGUCAAAUAUUAUCCGAUAUAAAGAAAGCAUGACAUUUUUCUUUCAAAAACAGUGGCUAUCAAAGCUCCUAUUCACAGUCUUGGCUUGUAAAUGUUCUGGUAAUUCCCAGUGUUGUUCCCAUUCGUUUCCAUGCUCCCUUUAUGGUAGGAUACUUACCUGUAUCUGAAAAACAAGAAAAUUAAAAUCAGUCAAAUGAACAAAAACCUCUUUCUGAAGCAAGAUGGGAAAGAUCUCCAUGGGUGAGGAUAGGGUUGAGGCUAAGAAGAGCCCUGAGGGCAGAAAAAGUCGGUAGGCAGAUUAGAUACUGUUUUAAAUGUUAAUGAGGAAAUAGCAUUAAGGAAAUGGAAGGGUAAAGGUACUAAUGAAACAAACCUAUGCUGUAUUCUGCAGGACAUGAAGAAUUUUUAAAACAAAACAAACCAUGCUGGUCUAUGUUUAUGCAGAAUUGAAAUAUAAUAUUCUUAUGGUGGGAUGAUUUAGUUGAGUUAUCCUAAUUUCCAGUUCUGUUUGGAAUUUUGGUUACAGUGUUGGAUUGGCAUUUAUAAACUUCCUUAGGCACACAUAUCUAAAUAUUUUGGAGAUUUUCAAAGUCCUGCCAGUGGAUAAAGCAAAUAUUUUGUAGAGUCUUCAUAUUAAAAAAAAAAAAUCUUUUGUAGGGAUAAUUUUUCCAUUAAUCAGGAUAAGAGGCAAUACAUUUCAAAAACUGUAGCGAUUGUGUUUCCUUUGUUUUAAGGUAAUCUAGAGUGAGUCACUGAAUAUUUAAAUAUGUUCUACACCAGCAUUUUAAGUAUACAGCUCUUCUCAUGGCCCGUAUUUGCCGGUAAAUCCGAUUUUAAGGCCUAGCAUGGAACAAAGAAAUAGCUUGGCUUUAAAAGAUACUCUUUCCUCUUACUUUAACUAUUUAAACUUUAUUAAAAAAUAAAACAAA